UUUCCAUUAAUCAAGACGAAAGUUAGAUGAUCGAAGGCGAUUAGCUACCGCCCUAGUUCUAACCAUAAACGAUGCCAGCCAGCGAUACGGCUGCGUUCCUCAAAUGACGCGCCGUGCAGCUUCCGGGAAACCAAAGCUUUUGGGUUCCGGGGGAAGUAUGGUUGCAAAGCUGAAACUUAAAGGAAUUGACGGAAGGGCACACAAGGAAUGGAGCCUGCGGCUUAAUUUGACUCAACACAGGAAAACUUUCUUGGUCCGGACACAGGAAGGAUUGACAGAUUAAGAGCUCUUUCUUGAUUCUGUGGGAGGUGGCGCAUGGCCGUUCUUAGUUGGUGGAGUGAUUUGUCUGAUUAAUUUCGUUAACGAGCGAGACUCUAGCCUACUAAAUAGACGUUCCGAUCCUAGUCGUCGGACGUUCUUCUUAGAGGGACAAGCGGCGUCUAGCCGCACGAAACUGAGCAAUAACAGGUCUGUAAUGCCCUUAGAUGUCCAGGGCCGCACGCGCGCUACAUUGAAGGAAUCAGCGUGUGUUUUCCUGGCCCGACAGGACUGGGUAACCCGUUGAACCUCCUUCGUGCUGGGGAUAGGAAAUUGUAAUUAUUUUCCUUGAACGAGGAAUUCCUAGUAAGCGCGAGUCAUUAACUCGUGUUGACUAUGUCCCUGCCCUUUGUGCACAUCGCCCGUCGCUACUACCGAUCGAGUGGAUUUAAUGAGGUCUUCGGACUGGCGCUCGGAUUGUCCUCUUGGUCGAGCCGAAGUGCCGGAAAGUUGGCCGAACUUGAUUACUUAGAGGAAGUAAAAG
rnacentral:rRNA from 1 species